rnacentral:rRNA from 1 species
GACGAACGCUGGCGGCGUGCUUAACACAUGCAAGUCGAACGGUAAGGCCCUUCGGGGUACACGAGUGGCGAACGGGUGAGUAACACGUGGGUGAUCUGCCCUGCACUUCGGGAUAAGCCUGGGAAACUGGGUCUAAUACCGGAUAGGACUCCGGACUGCAUGGUCUGGGGUGGAAAGCUUUUGCGGGGUGGGAUGGGCCCGCGGCCUAUCAGGUUUUUGGUGGGGGGAUGGCCUACCAAGGCGACGACGGGUAGCCGGCCUGAGGGGGUGACCGGCCACACUGGGACUGAGAUACGGCCCAGACUCCUACGGGAGGCAGCAGUGGGGAAUAUUGCACAAUGGGCGCAAGCCUGAUGCAGCGACGCCGCGUGAGGGAUGACGGCCUUCGGGUUGUAAACCUCUUUCAGCAUCGACGAAGCGAAAGUGACGGUAGGUGCAGAAGAAGGACCGGCCAACUACGUGCCAGCCGCCGCCGUAA